GACGAACGCUGGCGGCGUGCCUAAUACAUGCAAGUAGAACGCAGUGGCGAACGGGUGAGUAACGCGUAGGUAACUGCCUCACAGCGGGGGAUAACUAUUGGAAACGAUAGCUAAUACCGCAUACUGUGUGUUGGACUUGCGUUGUAUUAGCUAGUUGGUGAGGUAAAGACUCACCAAGGCGACGAUACAUAGCCGACCUGAGAGGGUGAUCGGCCACACGGGGACUGAGACACGGCCCAGACUCCUACGUGAGGCAGCAGUGGGGAAUAUUGCGCAAUGGGCGCAAGCCUGAUGCAGCAAUGCCGCGUGUAUGAAGAAGGCCUUCGGGUUGUAAAGUACGUUCAGCGGGGAGGCGUUACCCGCAGAAGAAGCACCGGCUAACUACGUGCCAGCCGCCGCGGUAAUUC
rnacentral:rRNA from 1 species